CGGGGAGGGCAAGCGUUGUUCGGAUUUACUGGGCGUAAAGGGCGCGUAGGCGGCCACCGCAAGUCGACUGUGAAAUCUCCGGGCUUAACCCGGAAAGGUCAGCCGAUACUGCGGGGCUAGAGUGCAGAAGGGGCAACUGGAAUUCUCGGUGUAGCGGUGAAAUGCGUAGAUAUCGAGAGGAACACCUGCGGCGAAGGCGGGUUGCUGGGCUGACACUGACGCUGAUGCGCGAAAGCUAGGGGAGCAAACGGG
rnacentral:rRNA from 1 species